rnacentral:lncRNA from 1 species
UUGCUGGGUUUUUAUAAUUGACUGGUGAUAUUAAGGGGAGAUAACCACUUGCACAAAUCGGCAUAAAAACCACCGCUUCGUAUCGAAAAUAACUUGACGUUUGCGUAUCCAACAUUCUAUUGCCGAGAUAUUUAUAUCGAGUGUUUGUCUUAAUAAGAUGCUUUAUUAAAUUUAAAUUCAGCCCAUCAUUUUUAGUUUCCU